GGGAAAAGGAGUAAAUGCUUUAUAGCUUCUUGUAGUAAUACCUUGUGUGAUCCAUGAGAUUGACAAGUGAAAGGACAAUAUUGGUUAUGAAGACCUCUGUUAGUUUUGGAUAUGAUGUUCCAACGGCUACUAUUUUGAACUUUUUUUGUUUGUAUUAGUUUAGGAUGGAUUUAAACAUUAAUCCAAACUUGUAGGAUAUUGUAUUGUAUAAUAUGGAUGUAAGAUUGUUAAUGUUGGAUAAUUAAUUAUGGAUAUGUUAUUGAGGAUUUAAAUUA